GUGCUUCCUUCAGCAGCACAUAUAUUAAAAUUGGAAUGAUAUAGAGAAGAUUAGCACGGACCCUGCAAAGGAUGACACCCAAAUUCAUGAAAUGUUCCAUAUUUUA
rnacentral:snRNA from 1 species